rnacentral:rRNA from 1 species
GGAAUCUUCGGCAAUGGGGGCAACCCUGACCAAGCAACGCCGCGUGAGUGAAGAAGGUUUUCGGAUCGUAAAGCUCUGUUGUAAGAGAAGAACGUGUGUGAGAGUGGAAAGUUCACACAGUGACGGUAACUUACCAGAAAGGGACGGCUAACUACGUGCCAG